rnacentral:lncRNA from 1 species
AAGAUUUAAAACGCUUCGUUCGACACCUCUCUCCCUUCGCAUCUCUCUCUCUAAUCCAAACUACAGAGGCCCGAGUACAAAAGCACGAGCUCCCUCCAAGAAAUCUAAAUUCCUGUUCUCCUGCGUCCGCUGUACUCUCUCUCUCUCUCUCUCUCUCUCUCUCUCUCUCCAUAUACGCGCACUCAUACAUAUAUAUACACACAUCGCUAUUUCUCUCUCUAAAAUUCUUCACCCUGGCGAUCCCUUUUCGCUAUUCCCUCAUGUUUACUCCACCGUAAAGGCUCGAAUUUCAUCACCAAGAGACGCUCAAACACAGG